rnacentral:rRNA from 1 species
AACGAACGCUGGCGGCAGGCUUAACACAUGCAAGUCGAGCGCCCCGCAAGGGGAGCGGCAGACGGGUGAGUAACGCGUGGGAAUCUACCCAUCACUACGGAACAACUCCGGGAAACUGGAGCUAAUACCGUAUACGUCCUUCGGGAGAAAGAUUUAUCGGUGAUGGAUGAGCCCGCGUUGGAUUAGCUAGUUGGUGGGGUAAUGGCCCACCAAGGCGACGAUCCACAGCUGGUCUGAGAGGAUGAUCAGCCACACUGGGACUGAGACACGGCCCAGACUCCUACGGGGGGCAGCAGUGGGGAAUAUUGGACAAUGGGCGCAAGCCUGAUCCAGCCAUGCCGCGUGAGUGAUGAAGGCCCUAGGGUUGUAAAGCUCUUUCACCGGUGAAGAUAAUGACGGUAGCCGGAGAAGAAGCCCCGGCUAACUUCGUGCCAGCCGCCGCCGUAA